UGACGGUACCCUACUAGAAAGGAGCCGCUAACUUCGUGCCAGAAGCGUCGGUAAUACGGGGGCUCCAAGCGUUAUCCGGUGUUAUUGGGCGUAAAGAGUCGUGUAGGUGGUUGGGUAAGUUAUCUUUCAAAUAUCUUUGCUUAACAAAGAGGAGGGGGAUAAUACUGCUCGACUAGAAUUUUCUCAAGGGAGAUCGGAACUGAGGGAGGAGUAGUGAAAUGCGUUGAUACCCUCGGGAACACCAGUGGCGUAGGCGGAUCUCUGGGAGAAGAUUGACACUGAGACACGAAAGCUAGGGGAGCGAAGCAGAUUAGAGACCUGCGUAGUCCUAGCCGUAAGCGCAUGCUUGCUAGCUGCAUGAAUCCACCUUCGGGUGGUAUCGUGUGGCGAAGGUAACCCGUUAAGCAAGCCGCCUGGAAAGUACGGCCGCAAGGCUGAAAUUCAAAGGAAUUGGCGGGGAGGCACACAACCAGUGGAACAUGUGGUUUAAUUCGAGACUAACCGAAGAACCUCACCAGGGUUUGACAUGUAGCUGCACGUCUUAAGAAAUUAAGACUCUCUUGAAGGUGCUACACAGGUGCUGCAUGGCUGUCGUCAGCUCGUUCCGUGAGGAGUGCCCUUAAGUGGGACAACGAGCGCAACCCCUAUUACAUGUUAGAAAUGUCAUGUAAGACUGCCUUGCCAUUUGGCGGGGAGGAAGGAGGGGCAGACGUCAAGUCCGCAUGGUCCUUAUGCCCUGGGCUACACACAUGUUACAAUGAGUACGGCAAUGAGUCUGUCGCGAGCACGUAAGUGUAAGCUAAUCUCUUAAAUGUACUCUCAGUGGGGAUUGAGGUCUGCAACUCGACCUCAUGAACACGGAAUUGGUAGUAAUCGCGGGUCAGCUAUACCGCGGUGAAUACGUUCUUGCCUCUUGCACACACCGCCCGUCAAACCAGCAAAGUCGAUUGUAUCCGAACCU
rnacentral:rRNA from 1 species